AGCCGACGAUCUGUAGCUGGUCUGAGAGGAUGAUCAGCCACACUGGGACUGAGACACGGCCCAGACUCCUACGGGAGGCAGCAGUGGGGAAUUUUGGACAAUGGGGGCAACCCUGAUCCAGCCAUGCCGCGUGCAGGAUGAAGGCCUUCGGGUUGUAAACUGCUUUUGUCCGGAACGAAAAGUCUCUGGUUAAUACCUGGGGUCCAUGACGGUACCGUAAGAAUAAGCACCGGCUAACUACGUGCCAGCAGCCGCGGUAAUACGUAGGGUGCAAGCGUUAAUCGGAAUUACUGGGCGUAAAGCGUGCGCAGGCGGUUAUGUAAGACAGAGGUGAAAUCCCCGGGCUCAACCUGGGAACUGCAUUUCGAACUGGCAAACUAGAGUAUGAUAGAGGGUGGUAGAAUUUCACGUGUAGCGGUGAAAUGCGUAGAGAUCUGAAGGAAUACCGAUGGCGAAGGCAGCCACCUGGGUCAGUACUGACGCUCAUGUACGAAAGCGUGGGGAGCAAACGGGAUUAGAUACCCCGGUAGUCCACGCCGUAAACGAUGUCUACUAGGAGCUGGGGUCUUCUGACAACUUUUCCAAAGCUAACGCAUUAAGUAGACCGCCUGGGGAGUACGGCCGCAAGGUUAAAACUCAAAUGAAUUGACGGGGGCCCGCACAAGCGGUGGAGCAUGUGGUUUAAUUCGAUGCAACGCGAAGAACCUUACCUACACUUGACAUACAGAGAACUUACCAGAGAUGGUUUGGUGCCUUCGGGAACUCUGAUACACGUGCUGCAUGGGUGUCGUCACCUCGUGUUGUGAGAUGUUGGGUUAAAUCCCGCAACGAGCGCAACCCCUAUCCUUAUUUGCCAGCGAUUCGGUCGGUAACUCUAAAGAGACUGCCAGUGAUAAACCGGAGGAAGGUGUGGACGACGUCAAGUCAUCAUGGUCCUUACGUGUAUGGCUACACACGUGCUACAAUGGC
rnacentral:rRNA from 1 species